rnacentral:ribozyme from 1 species
UCUAUUUGUGUUUUUUCGGUCUCUUGUGUGCGCAGUUACACAUUGUUAUUAUUUUUUUAUUUUUUUUGGCUUUUUUUUUUUCCAAUUCCCUUCCGCCCUUUUGUUCUUGGCCUUUUUUCU